rnacentral:rRNA from 1 species
CACAUGCAAGUCGAACGAUGAAGCCCAGCUUGCUGGGUGGAUUAGUGGCGAACGGGUGAGUAACACGUGAGUAACCUGCCCUUAACUCUGGGAUAAGCCUGGGAAACUAGGUCUAAUACCGGAUAGGAGCGCCUACCGCAUGGUGGGUGUUGGAAAGAUUUAUCGGUUUUGGAUGGACUCGCGGCCUAUCAGCUUGUUGGUGAGGUAAUGGCUCACCAAGGCGACGACGGGUAGCCGGCCUGAGAGGGUGACCGGCCACACUGGGACUGAGACACGGCCCAGACUCCUACGGGAGGCAGCAGUGGGGAAUAUUGCACAAUGGGCGCAAGCCUGAUGCAGCGACGCCGCGUGAGGGAUGACGGCCUUCGGGUUGUAAACCUCUUUCAGUAGGGAAGAAGCGAAAGUGACGGUACCUGCAGAAGAAGCACCGGCUAACUACGUGCCAGCAGCCGCGGUAAUACGUAGGGUGCGAGCGUUAUCCGGAAUUAUUGGGCGUAAAGAGCUCGUAGGCGGUUUGUCGCGUCUGUCGUGAAAGUCCGGGGCUUAACCCCGGAUCUGCGGU